UGGAAGUAAAAGUCGUAACAAGGUCUCCGUUGGUGAACCAGCGGAGGGAUCAUUACCGAGUUUACAACUCCCAAACCCCAAUGUGAACGUUACCAAUCUGUUGCCUCGGCGGGAUUCUCUGCCCCGGGCGCGUCGCAGCCCCGGAUCCCAUGGCGCCCGCCGGAGGACCAACUCAAACUCUUUUUUCUCUCCGUCGCGGCUUCCGUCGCGGCUCUGUUUUACCUUUGCUCUGAGCCUUUCUCGGCGACCCUAGCGGGCGUCUCGAAAAUGAAUCAAAACUUUCAACAACGGAUCUCUUGGUUCUGGCAUCGAUGAAGAACGCAGCGAAAUGCGAUAAGUAAUGUGAAUUGCAGAAUUCAGUGAAUCAUCGAAUCUUUGAACGCACAUUGCGCCCGCCAGUAUUCUGGCGGGCAUGCCUGUCCGAGCGUCAUUUCAACCCUCGAACCCCUCCGGGGGGUCGGCGUUGGGGAUCGGCCCCUCACCGGGCCGCCCCCGAAAUACAGUGGCGGUCUCGCCGCAGCCUCUCCUGCGCAGUAGUUUGCACACUCGCACCGGGAGCGCGGCGCGGCCACAGCCGUAAAACACCCCAAACUCUGAAAUGUUGACCUCGGAUCAGGUAGGAAUACCCGCUGAACUUAAGCAUAUCAAUAAGCGGAGGAA
rnacentral:misc_RNA from 1 species